UUUUGACUAGUAGGGCACACCCGCCAUUGUUCGGACCAUCGACAGAAUAACGUUCGUGUUUUUCAGAUUUCUCCAUCCAAGACAUAGAUUUGCUGAUGAAUAACAUCGCAAAGAUCUUGGUGUAUUGUCUUCAUACUUGGCCACAACAACCCUUCAAAUAGACCAGACUAAACUAAAUAAAACUUGACCACCAUAUUAACAUUCAAGAAGUUCGGCCUACAUGUCAGAUUUAUGAAUGUGAACAGCAGGAUAUCGAUUUUAAGGAUGCUUUAGGGUCAAUGACAAUGAAAUCACGAGAGAUAAAGGCUAAAAUGUGAGACUGUCAAUCUGACUAACCUUGAAGUGAACAAAUGGAAAAAAUGUCUCUUUCAAUAGCAUGGGCUUUUAAGGAAGAGGAAACAGAGGCGCUUAUAUGAUAGAACAGUAAAAGCAGGAGUGAUAAGGAAAGAUACAUGUAGAAUAAGAUGUGUCUUCAUGUCUGAAACACUAAAGAAAUAGAAAUAUUGUGGUUUUAUA